rnacentral:rRNA from 1 species
UACAUGGGGUGCAAGCGUUAAUCGGAAUUACUGGGCGUAAAGCGUGCGCAGGCGGUUAUGUAAGACAGGUGUGAAAUCCCCGGGCUUAACCUGGGAACUGCAUUUGUGACUGCAUAGCUAGAGUACGGUAGAGGGGGAUGGAAUUCCGCGUGUAGCAGUGAAAUGCGUAGAUAUGCGGAGGAACACCGAUGGCGAAGGCAAUCCCCUGGACCUGUACUGACGCUCAUGCACGAAAGCGUGGGGAGCAAACAGG